rnacentral:misc_RNA from 1 species
UGUGAUUUUGCACAAUAUUUUGAUAUCAUCGCCAUCAUUAUCAUUAUUGAAAUCGUCAAUGACAACGGCAUUCACACUUGAUGAACAUUUAGCAAAAAUGGUUCGAUUUUUGUUUUUUAGGUCUGUUGUUGUUGUCUUGGGCAGAUAGGAAAAUUCUAGAUUUUUUAAAAAGAAAAUUCACCGCCGUGCAGGAUUAUCGAACCACAGAAAACAAAGUGGAUGGGGAAUUUCCAGCCAAAAUUGAAUUGUACUUUUCAAUGAUUUAUGCUGUUGUUUGGUGAUGCUC